CUGAAGCCAAACCACACACACAAAUACGCACACACAGGAACUGUAUUAGAAGAAUUCAAACCUUGAACAGAAAGCAAAACAGUACUGGCUCUGGAGUCUGAAAUUCAGUGCAUGAUAAAUUGUGUUUUUCACAUUUUUCUGUGUUUUUACCAGCUGAGGCAGUGAACCAAUAUAGGCACCUUCCAAAGGCAGAGAACACUGCCCAAGGACAGCUCUAUAUCUAAAACUUGUUUUUCUCACAUGCGAAGCAGACAUGAGCAGUGGUGAUUGUUGUCGUGAGUCAGAAUUCACUGCAAUGUGAACAUCCAGCAUGUGAGUCUGGAGGAAAAUCACAUAAGAUGGGAGCCUCCAGCAAGGGAACAAAGUCUACUGUUUAUGUAACUUACUGGAGGAUGUUUGAAGCACAGAAUGAGAAGACACUAGAUGUGAUUAUCUACUAUGCUGCUGAGAGCUGGAGACUAAUUUCUAUACGACAUAUGUUAUUAUCAUUGCUAUACAGAUUACAGCUUCGGGGGCAAAGUCAUAGAUCAAGGCUCCCACUGAGCUAAAAGCUGUGCAAACAUGGUGAAAAGAUGAUCUCUGGGUCACAGAAGUUUGCUAUAACCUCUGCACACUUCUACAUUCAAUCUACUGCCAUUUUUCUCCCAAGAUUAUUUCCUUACAACCAUUAAUAACAUUGUAUUUUUCUUGUCUGGCAAUUUUAUGCCUUGCUUAGUAUUUGUUUCAUGAAUCAAUAAACAAAAAAAAUCUGUGU